GUGCCAGCCGCCGCGGUACUACGGAGGGUGCAAGCGUUGUCCGGAAUCACUGGGUGUAAAGGGUGUGCAGGCGGGGCAGCAAGUUGGAUGUGAAACCCCAUGGCUUAACCAUGGAGGUGCAUUCGAAACUGUUGCUCUUGAGUCCCGGAGAGGCUGUCGGAAUUCGUGGUGUAGCGGUGAAAUGCGUAGAUAUCACGAGGAACACCAGAGGCGAAAGCGGACAGCUGGACGGGUACUGACGCUCAGGCACGAAAGCGUGGGGAGCAAACAGGAUUAGAUACCCUAGUAGUCC
rnacentral:rRNA from 1 species